rnacentral:rRNA from 1 species
CACGUAGGGCGCAAGCGUUGUCCGGAAUUAUUGGGCGUAAAGAGCUCGUAGGCGGUCUGUUGCGUCCGCUGUGAAAACUCGGGGCUUAACCCCGAGCCUGCAGUGGAUACGGGCAGACUAGAGGUAGGUAGGGGAGAAUGGAAUUCCCGGUGUAGCGGUGAAAUGCGCAGAUAUCGGGAGGAACACCAGUGGCGAAGGCGACUUCCUGGCCUGUUCUUGACGCUGAGGCGCGAAAGCUAGGGUAGCAAACGGGG